GCUUCUGUAGCUCAGUCGGAAGAGCGUCAGUCUCAUAAUCUGAAGGUCGAGAGUUCGAACCUCCCCAGGAGCA
rfam:Lachancea thermotolerans CBS 6340 chromosome G complete sequence.